rnacentral:rRNA from 1 species
CCUACGGGAGGCAGCAGUGGGGAAUAUUGCACAAUGGGCGCAAGCCUGAUGCAGCCAUGCCGCGUGUAUGAAGAAGGCCUUCGGGUUGUAAAGUACUUUCAGCGGGGAGGAAGGGAGUAAAGUUAAUACCUUUACUCAUUGACGUUACCCGCAGAAGAAGCACCGGCUAACUCCGUGCCAGCAGCCGCGGUAAUACGGAGGGUGCAAGCGUUAAUCGGAAUUACUGGGCGUAAAGCGCACGCAGGCGGUUUGUUAAGUCAGAUGUGAAAUCCCCGGGCUCAACCUGGGAACUGCAUCUGAUACUGGCAAGCUUGAGUCUCGUAGAGGGGGGUAGAAUUCCAGGUGUAGCGGUGAAAUGCGUAGAGAUCUGGAGGAAUACCGGUGGCGAAGGCGGCCCCCUGGACGAAGACUGACGCUCAGGUGCGAAAGCGUGGGGAGCAAACAGGAUUAGAUACCCGCGUAGU